ACAAUAUUCAAUAAUUCUUUCAGAUUGUUGAUAUUGUUGUUGGAAAAGAUGAGAAAGGCAGAAAGAUUCCAGAAUAUCUGAUCCAUUUUAAUGGUUGGAACAGAAGCUGGGAUAGAUGGGCAGCUGAAGAUCAUGUUCUUCGUGAUACGGACGAAAAUCGCAGAUUACAGCGUAAAUUGGCACGGAAGGCUGUGGCUCGCAUGAGAAGAAAGGGAAGAAAGAAGAGACGCUGC